UACGGAGGGUGCAAGCGUUAUCCGGAUUCACUGGGUUUAAAGGGUGCGUAGGUGGGCAGGUAAGUCAGUGGUGAAAUCUCCGGGCUUAACCCGGAAACUGCCAUUGAUACUAUCUGUCUUGAAUACCCUGGAGGUGAGCGGAAUAUGUCAUGUAGCGGUGAAAUGCUUAGAUAUGACGCAGAACACCAAUUGCGAAGGCAGCUUGCUACACUGUUAUUGACACUGAGGCACGAAAGCGUGGGGAUCAAACAGG
rnacentral:rRNA from 1 species